rnacentral:rRNA from 1 species
AACGAACGCUGGCGGCAGGCCUAACACAUGCAAGUCGAACGCUCCGCAAGGGGAGUGGCAGACGGGUGAGUAACGCGUGGGAAUCUACCCAAUGGUACGGAACAACCAAGGGAAACUUUGGCUAAUACCGUAUGUGCCCGCAAGGGGAAAGAUUUAUCGCCAUUGGAUGAGCCCGCGUCGGAUUAGCUAGUUGGUGGGGUAACGGCCCACCAAGGCAACGAUCCGUAGCUGGUCUGAGAGGACGACCAGCCACACUGGGACUGAGACACGGCCCAGACUCCUACGGGAGGCAGCAGUGGGGAAUAUUGGUCAAUGGGCGCAAGCCUGAACCAGCCAUGCCGCGUGAGUGAUGAAGGCCCUAGGGUUGUAAAGCUCUUUCGGCGGGGAAGAUAAUGACGGUACCCGCAGAAGAAGCCCCGGCUAACUCCGUGCCAGCCGCCGCAGUAAGAC